AGGAAUCGUGGGAGGGGCAAUGGUUGGGCAUUGAUCUGCGUCCCUGUGUGCGGCGAGCGGCUUGCCCAAUCCUUCGGCGGCCCCGCCGGAUCUCCGGUGAACUCCUCCGCCCUUGCCGCUGCCCUCCUCGUGGGACGCGGACUGGAGAGACGAGGAUGGAUGUGGGAAGAGUGGUAGAGUAGUUGAGCAGGAUGACUGUUCGAUGAAAUGCUCGAGAGAGAGGAGUGCAAAGAAGUCGCGAGCAUGAGGCAUGUCCUGGAUCAAGUUCCGCAGCUGUGGCGCGUUGGGUAAGUGACUCUUUCGCGUGGGUAUAGUAGCAAGGUACAAAAAUAAAGGGUCAGCAUAAUUGGUGAACGGCAACGGAAAGCCUUUCCUUCAAUUUUUUUUAAUUUCAGUUCUUGUUGAAGACAUUUGGAGUGGAUGGUUUAUGAUAUAUAAUUCUUCUUUUGGCUUUCUCAAAAUUUUGUUUGCUAAACUGUU
rnacentral:lncRNA from 1 species